CCUACGGGGGGCAGCAGUAGGGAAUUUUCGUAAAUGGGCGCAAGCCUGAACGAGCAAUGCCGCGUGAAUGAGGAAGGUCUUCGGAUCGUAAAGUUCUGUUGACGGGGAAAAAAGACCGGGAAAGGAAAUGAUCCCGGAGGAGAUAUUACCCGUCGAGGAAGUCACGGCUAACUACGUGCCAGCAGCCGCGGUAAUACGUAGGUGGCGAGCGUUAUCCGGAAUGAUUGGGCGUAAAGGGUGCGUAGGCGGGCUUUUAAGUCAGCGGUAAAAAUUCGGGGCUCAACCCCGUCCGGCCGUUGAAACUG
rnacentral:rRNA from 1 species